rnacentral:tRNA from 1 species
GGGGCUAUAGCUCAGCUGGGAGAGCGCCUGCCUUGCACGCAGGAGGUCAGGGGUUCGAUCCCGCUUAGCUCCACCA